rnacentral:rRNA from 1 species
CAGCCGUAAACUAUGCGCGUUAGGUGUAUCGGUGACCACGAGUCACCGAGGUGCCGAAGGGAAACCGUGAAACGUGCCGCCUGGGAAGUACGGUCGCAAGGCUGAAACUUAAAGGAAUUGGUGGGGGAGCACCACAACGGGUGGAGCCUGCGGUUUAAUUGGACUCAACGCCGGACAACUCACCGGGGACGACAGCAAUAUGUAGGCCAGGCUGAAGACCUUGCCUGAAUCGCUGAGAGGUGGUGCAUGGCGUAGACGUCU